AGAAUAAUAUAAGGAAAGCUGCUAACUUAUCCUUUAGUGAUAAUCCACUUUAUUCUU
rnacentral:tRNA from 1 species